rnacentral:rRNA from 1 species
UACGUAGGGGGCAAGCGUUGUCCGGAAUCAUUGGGCGUAAAGCGCGUGUAGGCGGCUCGAUAAGUCUGCUGUGAAAGUCCAAGGCUCAACCUUGGGAUGCCGGUGGAUACUGUCGAGCUCGAGUCCGGAAGAGGAGUGUGGAAUUCCUGGUGUAGCGGUGAAAUGCGCAGAUAUCAGGAGGAACACCGGUGGCGAAGGCGGGACUCUGGGCCGAUACUGACGCUGAGGAGCGAAAGCGUGGGGAGCGAACAGG